UAGAAUUUUAUUUAAAUGAUAAACGAUUGACCAAAAUGUCAGGAUCACGGAGUUAGAAUUUGGGUAAACGUGGGAUGUUUCAGAAAACUUCCAACCACAGACAUAAAAGGAUAAUUACGUGAAGCACAUCUGAACCCAGGGAAAGCAAAAGGCAUUCUGUUACCUCCCAUACCUCGCCUCUUGCCGAUGCAAUGGUCUCACGCUGGGUUAUUAAACAGUAUUGACCAAGCUCUUACCCUGGAAUCCUUCAGCCCGCAAGGAGGUUUUGAAAUAGCCCGGGAAGACAGCUGUCUGGUGACAAACAAGCUGUCCGGGGCGGGUGUGGGGAAGCGCGGAGGGGCACCAGGGACCCGUCCCCUCCGGAAGGGUCUGCUGGGCCUCACCGACCAGAUGCAUCGCAGCUGUCCUUAGGGCUUGUGUGGAAUUCACCUGGAACGGAUAUUGUAAGUAAAUCUGAGGGCUUAUCACCUUUAAUAAUGAGCUCUAACUGUAUUUAACUGCCUUGGCAGAACCGUUGAGUAAGUGGGUGCUACCCUUGUUGCAGAUACUGUAAUUUCUAGAUUGUUUACCGGGCUCAUUUUGUAAUCAACCUCUAAAUUUGCAGAAACUGGUCAGGUGUAAACUAAAUACAUAAUCAUAUCCAACUGAACGAACUUGGGACUUUGGACCACAUUCUAAAUAUCUCCUUCGGGUAUGCGUCCGAGUCUCCACCCUUCCCUGAUUUAGUCAGCCAAUAACAGGGACCAUUCCUGACCUUCUCUACGGCGCUCUGCUCUUGAAACGUACUUUUUUUUUUUUUAAACAAAGGCCACACCAAAGACAAAGACCAGUCCUUCUCCACGAUUAGAGGGACUCCGUCUUGAUCACCGCUGGAAGCCUGCCGGGCACACGGGGAACUCAGCAAGUGAACACUGAGUGAGCAAGACCGACGGCAAGCUGCCUUCCAGCAGGAACUGGGUCAUCCGCAAGCAGAUUAGCUCAGAACAAUCCCACUGGCGGCAGAGUUUAGGGGAUCAGAGGACAAGAGACCCCGAGUCUCGGACUGUCUUCCAGGCAAGAGCAUGACUCACUCGGCUGGUGACAUGGAACCACCUUCUGAUCCGCCCGUGGCCGGCCUCCCAAGGUGAUGCCAGGAAGCACCACCCAGAACCUUCAAGGAGAGAGAGCAGGCUCCCGCCAAGGCAUUCCAGCCCGUUUCAGAGGAGGCGAGACCACGGCAGUAGCCUCCCAGCCUGUCCGUCUCCAUCCUGGCAAUCUUUGGUCUGACUCCCAACACAGCCACGAGAUGGCCCCUUUAAAAGGUAAGUCAGAUCAGCUCCUCUUGCUCAAACCCUCCGAGGCUUCCCGUGGAAACAGAGUGAAGGGUUGUGAGUUGACGGUGGCCUUCGAGGCCCUCCAUGCUCUGGUCUCCCGUCACCUCCUAACCCCACCACCGCCUGGCCUGCUCCCCAGCACUCACUCCCCGCGGCCAGACUCCUCCUCGGAGCCCGCAGGCGCUCGUCCACCCAGCGGCUCUGCACGUCCGGUUCCCUCCGCCUGGCCUCCCUCCACGGCCUGAGUGCUGUGUCCCCACCGAGACUGGAUAGUCAGCAAACAUUUGAUGAAUGAAUGAAUGAAUGAAUUGAGUGAGUGAAUAUUUAGAUUCAGUGGUGGUUGAAGGUCUCAUUUUAAGAGUAAGGAUUCCAACCACUAAGUCUUCUGAGAAGCAGCAGGCGUUCGCCACAAUUCCCUCGACGGAGGGCAAGUGCUUGUAGCACGAGACAAAUCUGCAAGGAGAGGCGACUGGGCCUGGCAUGCAGCGUGGGAUGCAGGCAGCUGAGGGGCUGGGCGCGGACUGCUGGGCGAUUUUGUCCCCAGUCGUCCCCUAGUUUUACGUGGGCGCAUGACCACCCACGCGGUCGCUCUCCCUGCAGCUCCACGUGGCCAAAGGCUAAAUUCCGAUCAAUGAACGUGAGCAGAAGGCACAGGCAAUUUCCAGAAUGCCAGAGGCUGGGGCCACCGGGUUGUCCAGGUGUGUGUCCAGGAUGGCAGAGCCGCCCGCGGACCGCCUCUCUGGACUGCAUGGGGAGAGAAAUAAGCUUUGUUCUCAUCUCUCGUUUGAACCAGUCUGCCCUGUGGUCCUUGUUCUCACACUUAAACCUACAGCCUGACCAAGUCUAGCCAUACCGAGCUGGGGACAGUCUUUUGAUGCUGGCGGUUGAUAAAGAAGGGGGGUCACCAAGGGGGAAGUCAUCGGGUAGGAAAGUGGACAUGGUCCCCGAGUGUGCCGAGCGCUGUUUUUACCAAGCACACGUGUUUUCGGAACAACCGAGAGACUGUGGUCUUUAUGUCGGCAGAAGAUAAAAAGAGGCAAUAAACUGAAAUCUGGGGGAAGACAGCCUCACAGGAGUUUCAGCACAAGAUUUCCCUCUCCUAAUUUUCUUGACUCGCCUCAGGUUUUGCAUGAGAAAGACCCUCAGCACGGAGAACAAGGGGACUGAAAGCCGGGACCAGUGUAUUUGUAAGUUUUUCCCUUCGCCCCACAGCCCACGUGAUUCACUGCAAUGCUUGUCCGUUUCCAAAUUUUUUCAGUCUGAAAAUUGAAAAUCCUAUGUAUCUUAUUUCCUGGUCUGGCCAUCAUAAUCUAGAAGAUUAUCUUCCCUGUUCUCAAAAAAGCAUUGCUUUGAAACGGUCCCCUCCGAGAGCUGACUUACACGUGAAGACGCGCUCUCACACCUCCCUGGCUGGGCAGAGCAUUUCCAUACAGAAGUGAUCUUGCCCUACAGCAGCGCAGGGGCGCGGCGGGGGCUUGAAAAUCACGGAAUCAAAGGAAAAUGAUCCAAUAUUUCAAACAAAAUCGUGUCUCGCCUAUUUCUGCUCCAUUACAAGAGGGUAAGUUAGAUCCAGUCUUCCCAAGGCCGCUGCCUCAGAUGUGGAACUCUGUAAGUGCCCGAAUGUCUUCUAUUUUAUUAUAUACACAAAGGAGCUCUUUAACGCAGCUACUGUCUGUGGCACGGAAGUCAUAUCUCGAUUUUCCUUUUCAACUAAAACCGCUCUAAACUGGAACGCUAUCCCACUGCUGAAGAGUUUAUCUCACCAGUAUUCCCCACAGAUGAAUAGGCAAUACACGUUAUCUUUUUCUUUUUUUCUUAAAGAAACUAUUCAUUGACUACAUUACCGAAAUAGUCCACUUGUCUCAUGUUAGUUGCAUAUUUUUCUGUUUUUUAAUAUCUGCAAAAUACUUUUUCAAUCGAAACAAAGCUGCAGAGUAAGUGUUUUCUCUAAAAUUGAAAAGCAAGCUCUUUGUAAUUAUACGUCGCCUUUU